rnacentral:tRNA from 1 species
GUUUUUGUAGUUGAAUUACAACGGCGGUUUUUCAAGUCGUAGGUUCCGGUUAAAUUCCGGGCAGAAAUA